rnacentral:rRNA from 1 species
GGGCCCGCACAAGCGGAGGAACAUGUGGUUUAAUUCGAUGAUACGCGAGGAACCUUACCUGGGCUUAAAUGGGGGACGACAGCUGCUGAAAGGUGGUUUUCUUCGGACGUUCUUCAAGGUGCUGCAUGGUUGUCGUCAGCUCGUGCCGUGAGGUGUCGGGUUAAGUCCCAUAACGAGCGCAACCCUUACUGUUAGUUGCCAUCGGGUAAAGCCGGGGACUCUAGCGGGACUGCCACCGUAAGGUGAGAGGAAGGUGGGGAUGACGUCAAAUCAGCACGGCCCUUAUGCCCAGGGCUACACACGUGUUACAAUGGCCGGUACAAAGGGCAGCUACACCGCGAGGUGAUGCUAAUCUCGAAACCCGGUCUCAGUUCGGAUCGAAGUCUGCAACCCGACUUCGUGAAGUUGGAUUCGCUAGUAAUCGCGCAUCAGCCACGGCGCGGUGAAUACGUUCCCGGGCCUU